GCUCCCUUCAGCAGUACAUAUUGAAAUGAUACAGAGAAGAUUAACAUGGCCACUGCGCAUGUUAAUUAACAUGGAAUUCGUGAAGCAUUCCAUAUUUUU
ensembl:snRNA U6 U6 spliceosomal RNA